rnacentral:rRNA from 1 species
GACGAACCGUGCGAACGUUGUUCGGAUUCACUGGGCUUAAAGGGCGCGUAGGCGGUCGACCAAGUCUGGGGUGAAAUCUUUCGGCUUAACCGGAAAAGUGCCCCCGAUACUGGCCGGCUAGAGGGAGAUAGGGGCAUGUGGAACUUCCGGUGGAGCGGUGAAAUGCGUAGAUAUCGGAAGGAACGCCGGUGGCGAAAGCGGCGCGCUGGACCUCUUCUGACGCUGAGGCGCGAAAGCCAGGGGAGCAAACGGG